CCUACGGGUGGCAGCAGUGGGGAAUAUUGCACAAUGGGGGAAACCCUGAUGCAGCGACGCCGCGUGAGUGAAGAAGGACUUCGGUAUGUAAAGCUCUAUCAGCAGGGAAGAAAAUGACGGUACCUGACUAAGAGGCCCCGGCUAAUUACGGGCCAGCAGCCGCGGUCAUACGUAGGGGGCAAGCGUUAGCCGGAAUUACUGGGUGUAAAGGGAUCGUAGGUGGCAGGGCAAGUCAGAUGUGAAAACCCGGUGCUCAACCCCGGGAGUGCAUUUGAAACUGGCCAUCGGGAGUGCAUGAGAGGUAAGCGGAAUUCCUGGUGUAGCGGUGAAAUGCAUAGAUAUUAGGAGGAACACCAGUGGUGAAGGCGACUUACUGGCCUGUAACUGACACUGAGGCUCGAAAGCGUGGGGAGCAAACAGGAUUAGAUACCCCAGUAGUC
rnacentral:rRNA from 1 species